AACCAGUAUAAAUGCUAAUUUUGGUCAGUGUUUGUGACUAAGUGGCUACUAAUAAAGAGUGGACAUACCCCAUAUUGAAUACCCUGGGUUGUCUACAAAAUAUGUACAUGUGAGGUGAUUCAGACAUUUAUGACAGGUAACCGUGUUACAAUGUCACUCAGGAAAGGCAUGAUCUACGUGUGGUUGAGAAAUAGAACAGCAAGGUGGGGAGAAUUCUUUCCUUAGUUGUUCAAUCUUGUCGGUAAAGUAGCAUGCAAAGCUAUCGGCUGUAAGGUUAGUUUAGGGGGUGGCACAGCAGGGUGAAGAAGAGAGUCCAAGGUGUCAAAGAGACACCUGGUAUUGCGGGAACAUGAACUAAUGAGAGAGGAAACGUAUGACUGUUUUGCGAGGGCAAGGACUGCGCAGUAUGAGUACAAUAUGAAUCUAUAAUGGAGAUAGUCUGACUGGGUGCAAGACUUCCUCCAGGAGCAUUCAGCACAACGGGAGCAUCUUUGCAGGUAGCGUGUUGAUUUACUAUGCCACGGUUGGGGGCUCCUCGAGGUGCAUGCUUGGAGCGGGGCUGCAGCGUUCAAGGCAGAGGUGAAGGUAGUGUUAUAUGUGGAGAUGACCAGUGAGGGACAGCAGAGGGAAGGGAUGGAUAGCAGUAUUGAAUCAACGUCAGCUGACAGCUGCUGGAGGUUAAUAGAUUUAAGGUUCCUCCUGAGUUGAGGGGGUUAGGCUGAGAUUGUUGGGUGAGGGGGUAAUUGAGAGCAAACGAUAAGAGGUG